UCUCAAGGUAACAUUAACACAAGUCUGGAUCUAAGUAACAUCAGGACAGCUUGAAUUUUAACCUGAGCUGGUAAUGAAUCAGGAUAUUAAAUUAAGUGCUACUUGAAGGAUGAAGAUACUACUGAAACUUGUAAUAAAUUUACACAGUCACCAUGGUGUUUGUUCUAUGUGUGCAAUUCAAGUAGCAGUAUCAGGAGUCUUUUCCUCCUGGAAGAGUGGAGAUCUGCUGAACAGGAUGUCGAGAGAAUAGAGCUUUGUCGAGCUCACUGGGGACCCUGUGUGCCAUGUGUAUGUCACAAGAUGCAUGUGAAGAGCAGUGACCCAGAAUCAUGUUUCUUCUCUCUUGCCUUUGGGAAAAAAAUAAAAACAAACACCUUGAUGUGCCUGUUAGGUCAAUUUUAUUUUCUGCAGGGAUUCAGCCUGCAGCAUGUGAGCUAAAGCAUGAGCUAAAGCAUUUGAAAAAACACAGUUCAAUGAACUUCAAACAGUCUAUUGAAAUCUAAAUUUACUAAGUGGAUUAGAUAGAAGAGGAGAGACAUAAAAUGCAGCCCAUUGAAGAGAAAAGGAUCCUCUCUUUUCCACAAGUUUCAUCAUUAUAUCUUCAAGAUUAUAUUAAUAUGAGCCAGCAGGAGUGUUGCUAGGAUCCCAAGAUGCGGCUGUCAAGUAACAUCUGCCAAAAAGGGGCUUGCUUCAUUACUUUCAAACCUUUCCAUUGCUCAUUAGGUCUCACCAGAUGGGGAUUCUGUAUUUUGAAGUCAGUCACCCUGUAUGAAGUAGUUUAUUCAUGACACUGAUGAACAAUUAUCUACCUGUACAGUUGGGACUUCUAGGCUGUUUAUUUCAACUGUGUCAGUACAGAGCACAACUUUAGCAUCUGAUGAUAAAAAAAUUGACAUACAGAGGGUCAGUUUGACUGAAUGGGUGCAUGAAUGAGAUCGAAAUUUUCCUAUAAUAAUUCUUAUAAUAAUUUCCCAGUAACAGAAUCCAUUGUAAUAACCCCUUGUAGGUUUUGCUACAUGAUUUUAUUUAUUUUACUCUUCAAGUACAGAAAAAUAAUAAGCUCAAAAAUGGUGUUCCAACCUAUCCAGUAGAAGAUGAACUGCUGUGCAUAAUAACUGUUGUAUUUCUGUUGGUUGAUAAAUGUUUAAUGGUUUGUUAGGAAACUAAUUGUCAGUUUAAAUCAGGAGAGUGACAAUAAUAACUCAUUUAAAUAUUCACAUUGUGACCUGCAAAGGCAGCUAUAAACAUAAUUCAUUCUAAUUUCUGUGUAUAGUUGAUGGGUACAAAUAUAUGGCAAUCCCCUUGAAAAAAGUUCUGAUCUCUAUUGUAAUGUUUCAUUUGUAUUUUCUGUUCUUCACAACUCUUGUUAUAAAUAGAAUCAACCAAAAGAUUGUUAUGUGCAUCAUGUGAAUAACUUGUGGGGCUUUAUAUGGAUGACUCUAUGCAGUAUCAGAAUUUAAAAUUGUUAAAAAACCUUGAAUGAUAAUUUAAGCCAUCUUUAUUUGCCCACAUCUUACAAUUAAACCAAACCAGAUAGGAAAAACAAGUGUCUUUGCAUGUACAAACACAUAUAUGUGUACACAAGAACAGAAAAUCCACAGUGGAAAUAUAUUUAAAAAAACAAAAUUAAGCCAAGCUAAAAUAACUUCCUCUGGUAUCAAAAAUACUCAUAUUUCAAGACCAAAUGUUGUCUCACUCUCUUCUGAAUUCUCAGUGAACUAUAUUUUCUUUGACUUCAACAGUAAAAUGCCUCUAAGGAGAUUUUAGAAGAUAACCCUGAGGUAUCUGAGUCACCAUGGACAGCAGGAGGCAAGCAAGGUUUUCACUGAAAAUGUAGGCAUAACAUAAUUGUAAACACCAUUUUGGAAAAUAUACUGGUGUACUUAAUUAGCUGCAGCAAGACACUGAAAUUUUUAAGGUCCUUACUUGCCCACAGUGAAGAAACUGGAGGAGGAGGUCUUUCCAAAAGCCCUCUUAUCCCUUCCUGGGAUGACUGGCCAGUGGUUUCUUUCAGCAGUACAGGGAUUUGCACACUCAUUUAUGCCCCUUUUCAGGAACUUUUCAAUUGACUGCGUAGGGAAAAGAGGGGUAAGGCUUCCCUUGUCUUACAGUAUGAUGAGAAUUGAGGCCAAGGUAUGAAAAAUUAAAGCUGUCAACUUCCUCCCUUGUUUUCCAAGAAACUUGGAGUACCUACAACAAAGAGCUUGCCCUGCAGUUCUACUCUGAGCAGAUGUUGAGUAGAAACUUUUUUUUCCAUUUCUUUUUUCUCCCUCUUAUAUGCUUGCCUAACCAACUCUGAUGCCUCUGAUAUUGGAGAACUAAUUUUGUGGUCUGAGGGGGAAAAGAAAAGUCUUUACUUAAAGUUCUGGAAUUAAAUAGUUCAUUACAAAUCUUGUAAUAAAUGUUAUUUUUCUUAAGGAACUCUGAGGUCAAUCGAGGUUUUCAAUUUAAAUCAUUUGAGGAAUCUUUGAGGGAACACAUUUUUCCAGCAAAAUGUCAUUCUUACAGACUAGUAUUUCUGUAUGGUCAGCUAGUAUAUUAAUUCAAACAUACAAGAACCUUAAAAGUAUUAUUAGAGCAAAGUCUAAAUCACUUGAACCUGAACAUUUCUCUGAAACAUGAUGGAAAUUCUUCUCGAGUUUAGGUUUUAAGUCUGCGAGAAUUUCCCACACAUUUUCUGAAGUUCCAAGGUCAAUGUAAUUCUUAGGAUAAAAAGUAAGGGUAGAAAGGAUUGUUUGUCAUAUCACAGAACCACAUAAUCUGCUAAGUUGGAAGGUACCCACUGGGAUCACUGAUAUACCUUGGCUGAGAGUGCUCUACCUCUUUUGAAAAUGAGGUAAAAAGCAGUAC